UCCAUCUCCGACUAUCUUCUGAUUGUUGUUCUGCAGCGACCAAAUCCAACUAGACCAAUGACGCUCCGGUGAACGUCGACAAGCUCCGGUGAUCACGAUUGACAAACUCAGAGAUAGUUUGUGUCGUGAAUCUUAUUUUUCGAAGUGAGUGCUGAUGGGUAGGCAUAAUAAGUGACUGGCAUGCAUUCUGAUUUUUAAGAUCGACAAGAUUGGUGAGCUGUUUGAAGAAUCAAUAGGACUCUGAACAAGACAUGGUCUGUGCUAUUAAAGAAUUACAGAUUUAUAAAAGUUUCAGAGUUGGCUUCUUAACACCAUCUUCUUGUCGAGUUAGAUAUCAAACUUUUUGCAGGUUAUAGUUAGAAUGAAGCCUCCAAAAAAAGUGGGGAAGAAGAAAUGAUUGUAUAAAAGAUAUCCAGAGAUUCUCUCAAAUCAGUGGACAGACUUUCACGGUCGACUCAGUUGCUGAUUCAGAGUCGACACAAGCAAAAUAUCUGUUUGAAUGAUUCUUGGUGGUGACAUUAAGCUAUGUCUAAUUCUGUCUACUGCUUUUGUUUUUUAUUUUUUUCAGGAACAUAUGAGCUAGUGGGAACGCCUCUUGUUGAAAAUUGUCUAUCUGGAUUUAACAAUUCUGUAUUUUCCUAUGGACAGCAGAGUAUUGCAAACAGAAGAGAUUGUAGUGAGACCAGGAUGGAAGAAGAAAGCUUGUGAACAAAGAAGACAUUGAGGAUGUAGGAAGGGAAGUGCAAUGCAUCACCUGACUGGUCAGCCAAACAUUGUGGAGCUUAAGGAGCUUAUGAGGAUAAGCAUUAUGUGCAUUUGGUCAUGGGGCUUUACGCAUGUGGACAGUUUGUUCGAUAGGAUUAUUUCUACAUGAAAUUACUCGAAGAGAGCAGCUGCUUCUUUGUUGAGAACCAUUGUUCAAAUUGUACCUACUUGUCAUUCCAUGGGGGUUAUUCACAGAGAUUUGACGCCUGAGAACUUUCUGUUGCUGAACAAAGAUAAGAACUCUCCUCUCAAAUCCAUUGACUUUGGUGUCUCCAAUUUCUACAAGCCAGGAGAUGUGUUCAAGGAUAUAGUGGGUAAUGCUUAUUACAUUGCACUAGAGGUGUUGAAAAGGAAAUAUGAAUCAGAAGCUGAUAUUUGGAGUAUUGGUGUCAUAUUGUAUGUCCUCUUAUGUGGUGUCUCACCCAUCUGGGUUGGUAAAAUAUUAAUCUCAUUAUAAACAUAUCUACAGAUGAUUUUUUUAUUUUAUAUAUAUAAAAAUGUAUUCAUGUGUUGUGAUUACCUGAUGAUCAUAGAAUCGGAGAAUUAAUGGGAUAUUCAAUGCCAUAUUAAAGGACUUGUUGAUUUUUCAAGU